GACGUGCUGACCAAUUUAAUGGAUGUCCAUUACGUCCAUAAAGGUGAGAAUCUAAAGAGCCAUUGCAGAUGUACUCAUAAACUAGUAACCUUCUUCCAUCUUCCACACAGAAGCCUAUCAGCAUCACCACAUUUCGAUGUUGAGCACAGCUCAGGACCUCCACUUCAGAGCAAAAUUCAAGGUCUCCCUGUGAACUAGCUGAUUUGUAUUGCUUGACUGCUAUGACUUGGCCAUCUGGUAGGUGUCCACGAUGUAC
rnacentral:misc_RNA from 1 species